rnacentral:lncRNA from 1 species
UAAAGUUUAGAGGAGGUGAUCCAAAUUGUGACCUAUUAGAGCAACUCCAAGAGACUCUCUAAAUCUUUUCUAAAUUCUAGGAAUAGAGAUUUUAAUGAAAAGUUACCCUCCAACAGUUUAUCUAAAUGGUUAUGCAAUUUUCUAUUCUGGAUUUUUCGCUAGCCAAAAACAGAAGAUUAGAAUGGCUCUCUAGGAUGCGCACGAGAGAUAGAAAAACUAUUGGACAGUUCAGAAAUAUAGAAAGCGAUUUUUAUGGAAAUGGUUUCCUAAAUGAUAAUUUAGAGAGUGAGAUUUGCAAAGACUCUUGGAGAUGCUCUUAGCUGAUUCAAAUAGGAUCUAAGUCCGGCUUUAGCUUUUCAUAUACAAAAGGAUAAUACAGGCAAAAUUUAUAGGUUUAGCAUGCAACAGUGUGCAUCUAAUCUAACUAUCCAUAUGCAUGCUCAUCUCAAAGGGAGAGAAAACAAAAUAAAGCAAAAACAAUAUCCACACGUACGCUCUAGCUGACAAGGCAUGCUUACUCCUGAAACAUUUUUAUUCAGAUAAAGAGUUAUCUGUCGCGAGGAAGCCCUAGAAUCUAGUGUGUGGAAAAGGCAGGCUGCAGGCUCUCUGUAUAAAAUAUGUAUACAAAAGGAUGGAUUCGCUUGAGACGAGACCAAUCACCAAUCCCAACUACCUCCCAGCAUCAUCUGUCCCAAAAAUUCUUAGUAACGCGUCCAAAAAAUAUACAAAAAAAAUAAAUAAAGAUUGCAACGCUCCUCCUGCAGAAAUGUACAGGCGGUGAGACAAAUCACCCGGUUUGGACACUAAUCCGUGUGGGCCCGGCCCGGCGGCCACAAAUCCAGAAAAGGAGAGCCAUCUGAAAGCGAGCAGGGACAUAAUACAGACACAGCGUGGUAUCUGCUCAGGAAUCAUGAGGCUAAUCUAUAGCAUCUUGCCAUACCCCAUCACAAAAAAUCAGAAGCUUUAUUAUCGAUCUCAGCAACACUUUUUACAUACAGUCUAGUAUUAAUAAAGUUCAGACCUUGUGAAAACUGAGCUGAAUCAUUUUAACCGAAAAAUGGUGAAAUACCAUGGAACAAAACCUUGC